AACUGCGAACGCCUCAUUAUAUCAGUUAUAGUUUAUUUGAUAGUCCCUUACUACUUGGAUACCCGUAGUAAUUCUAGAGCUAAUACGUGCGCACAUCCCGACUUCUGGAAGGGACGUAUUUAUUAGAUAAAAGGCCGACCGGAUUUUUCCGACUCGCGGUGACUCAUGAUAACUUCACGAAUCGCAUGGCCUCGGGCCGGCGAUGUUUCAUUCAAAUUUCUGCCCUAUCAACUUUUGAUGGUAGGAUAGAGGCCUACCAUGGUGGUAACGGGUGACGGAGAAUUAGGGUUCGAUUCCGGAGAGGGAGCCUGAGAGAUAGCUACCACUUCUACGGAGGGCAGCAGGCGCGUAAAUUGCCCAAUGCCAAAUCGGCGAGGCAGCGA
rnacentral:rRNA from 1 species